rnacentral:rRNA from 1 species
CCUACGGGUGGCAGCAGUGAGGAAUAUUGGUCAAUGGACGAGAGUCUGAACCAGCCAAGUAGCGUGAAGGAUGACUGCCCUAUGGGUUGUAAACUUCUUUUAUAUGGGAAUAAAACGUUCCACGUGUGGGAUUUUGUAUGUACCAUAUGAAUAAGGAUCGGCUAACUCCGUGCCAGCAGCCGCGGUAAUACGGAGGAUCCGAGCGUUAUCCGGAUUUAUUGGGUUUAAAGGGAGCGUAGGUGGAUUGUUAAGUCAGUUGUGAAAGUUGGCGGCUCAACCGUAAAAUUGCAGUUGAAACUGGCAGUCUUGAGUACAGUAGAGGUGGGCGGAAUUCGUGGUGUAGCGGUGAAAUGCUUAGAUAUCACGAAGAACUCCGAUUGCGAAGGCAGUUCACUGGACUGCAACUGACACUGAGGCUCGAAAGUGUGGGUAUCAAACAGGAUUAGAUACCCCAGUAGUC